GACGAACGCUGGCGGCGUGCUUAACACAUGCAAGUCGAACGGUGAAGCGAGUGCUUGCAUUCGUGGAUCAGUGGCGAACGGGUGAGUAACACGUGAGUAACCUGCCCAUCACUCUGGGAUAAGCACUGGAAACGGUGUCUAAUACUGGAUACGACCAACCCUUGCAUGGGGUGUUGGUGGAAAGAUUUAUCGGUGAUGGAUGGACUCGCGGCCUAUCAGCUUGUUGGCGGGGUAAUGGCCCACCAAGGCGACGACGGGUAGCCGGCCUGAGAGGGUGACCGGCCACACUGGGACUGAGACACGGCCCAGACUCCUACGGGAGGCAGCAGUGGGGAAUAUUGCACAAUGGGCGAAAGCCUGAUGCAGCGACGCCGCGUGAGGGAUGACGGCCUUCGGGUUGUAAACCUCUUUCAGCAGGGAAGAAGCGAAAGUGACGGUACCUGCAGAAGAAGCACCGGCUAACUACGUG
rnacentral:rRNA from 1 species